rnacentral:lncRNA from 1 species
AGGGUCAGAAAAAGGAAACCAAGUCGAAGUCCAAGCAUGCAAUAUUAAAUUCUUCUCUGGGUGCCUUUGAUUCAUUCCAGGAAAAAAAGUGAAGCACAAGAAGUAAUUUUAACAGGUGCCCUCCCUUUCUUCCACUAACGCACCAAUUCCCAGUCCUGAGCCAGAUUCAUGGGCAGGAACCUGGCCUUCUGUGGCCCUGUAUCCCUGGAAGGGCCUGGGAAGAUCUGAACACACAGGAGGCACUGAGACAAUAGAACUGGUUGACAGAUGGAGGCUCUGAAGGCAUAUGGAAGUUCCCAGGCCAGGGGUCCAAUGGGAGCUGUAGCUGCUGGCCUACACCACAGCCACAGCAACGCAGGAUCCCGGCCGCGUCUGCAACCCACACCACAGCUCACGGCAACACUGGAUCCUUAACCCACUGAGUGGGGCCAGGGAUCAAACCUGCAUGCUCAUGGAUGCUAGUCAGAUUCGUUAACUGGUAAGCCAUGACAGGAACUCCUGCUCCUGCUUUCAACACAGUACCCAAACACAAGGGAUCUCGUUCUAGCUGAGCCGCUGAACAGACAGGACAUCAUUGUGACUUCUGACGACAAGGUGAGAAGUCAGCAGACCCCACGAGGGUCAGGGUGAGCCUGAGCCACAUUCAGGCCAGAUUCACUCCAGACAACCAGGAGCAGGGAACUUCCUCGUGCGUCCAGUGAACUUACGUGGGGAACAGGGCGUCCGGGUGGUGGCAGAGUACCUGCAACCACGGAUGCGGUGGAGAGGCUGAGACUCUUGGUCUCUCGCUUCCUGAAUCCCCUUCUUCUAGGCAGCUAAGGGCAGAGGCUGACGUGUUUGAGCCCUGGGGCUUGAUCAUGACUAACUGCAGGGGCCCCGGCAUCACCCACCCCGACGUUACCACUAGCCUAGGUAGCUGCUACUCUGUUUUGGCCUUAAGGUUCCCCUUAGCCAAUUGUAAUUAGGCACAGGCGCCGCUACUCCCCAUGUGGCACGCGCCCCGGAAGCGCUUUUGGAGAACCGGAAGCAAGGCAGCUCUCCUGGGCCCGCCCAUUUGGGUGGUGUCCCAAUUGGUGAAGCCUAACUUAGCUCGAGAGCUGGGUCGGCGUCGGAGCAACCUUCCGCACCUGCCGCUAGGCUGCGGGGCUUUUCCCUUCUGGGGUUUUGGCGGGUGGCUUCCGGGUGCUAAGGAGGAGCCCGAGCGGAUGUAGGGCCCUCGGAAGCCCGUCGCGCCGCUUGGACACGGGUAGAGGAAGGCAAAGGAGACCUGACAGUCGGCGCGUGAGGGCCGACUGAGAAAACUCCAGAGAGACGAGGGUCUCUGGCCACCGUGGGCCGGACGCCUCGCGUCCAGCGCGGCCGGCGUCCGCGUUGGAAAAGCCAGGGGCCAAGGGCGUCGCGGCAGCACCUAGGUCCACGUGGCUGGUCUGCCGGGGGCCCGCGUCCUGUCCGCGCUGUGUUCCUGUCUGUGGGGCUCAGGCGCAAUUGGAGAAAGAAUGAUGUCUUUACUUUCAGGAAAAACAUCAAAGACCAGGGCGGCGCAAUGUGGAGCACAUAUGGCGGUCUCCGAAGGCCGGGCCUGCCAAAACACGUUUCUCAGGAUUUUCCUCCUUCCCUUUUUGUCCAGCCCCGCCCCACCCCCACCCACAUCCUUUUUUUUCUUUUUUCCUCCCCAAAUGGAGGGAGCGGCGGGCUCGGGUUACCGGGGCGUCCUGCGUCCGCUGGAGGCUGCAAGGCGAUCGAUCCACAAGGCCUUUCUGGACCUGUCUCUCCGGGAAGGGACUGUGGGGAUGGCAGAUCCGUGACUCGCCCAGGACCCAGCGCAGAAGCUCCAGGUCGCUUUUGCCUUUUACCUGCAAAAGCGGAUGAGCACAUGAGCCCAGAGAGCUGAUUUCCCCAGGUCACACAGCUGAGUCCAGGAUGGCUUCUUGCUCAGUGCCAUCCUCCUAUGUGAAAUUUAUUGCAAAGAUGGACUCCAGGUUUAGAGCAUACCUCUGGACUUCUGCUGUCUGCAGAUAGCAGUUUCUACAAAGCGAACUUGGAACAGAUGAGAGUUAGUUUUAGAAUACUACACCUUCUAUUCCUUGAAGGGAGAGGAAGUGAUGAAGAGGAUUAACACCCUGCUUCUAAUUCUGGCCAACUCAGAGGCCCUGCAUGGAAAAUCAGAAGUGACUGGAAUCCUGGAAGAGGGCCACCUGGCCAUCAGAAAAUUCCAGAGGGAUGUGGUCACUGCCAGACACACACUUGUUUGAUCUGGUCCAAAUGGAGAGAAACUAACUAGUUUUGAAGCAUCCAAUUUUCAGAAGUUAUUGACUAAUAAAGAUCAUCCAUAAAUGUUCUUCAGACCAACAGGAAAUGGGCCUGACUCCAAGCUACUAUCAAGUCUCCUCCGUCACUGAUUUUCCUGUCUGUGCAAAGGAAGGUGUGAGGAAAGGAAAAGGAUACCCUUUCACACCCAGGAAGACAGAACUCUCACCCAUACACAGAAGACAAGGUUAGGAUGUUUUGGGUAUUAUGUGUGUAUACACACACCACAUACACAUUAUGCACACAAUCCCCAUCGACAGCAUCACAGAAUCCUGCAGGGGCCUCCCUCAGAGCCACUUUCUUCAAUGAUUAGAUGGAGGAAGGGUUCCCAGGUCCUUUGGACCUGACUCUGACACUUCAGGGAAGGACCUGAUCCUGAAGUACAUGAGAGGACCAGCACUAAACACCUAGAUGACACCUCCUGAGAGUCUAGGAGAUGCCUCUCGAGGUAAUAGAUUUGUCAAUGAUGCUAUCCAUUGACCCUCACACAUGUAAAGUUCCCUGCAAAGGUUGCCUGAGUGCUCUAUAGCAAAGAAAACAAAAUCGAAUGAAUACAGGUAUGUUUUCCUGUCCUAUGGGAAAAGUUCAAGUAUCCAGCACUUGAUGCCCAGACCAUGGUGGUAACCUUCCAGUGGUCUCUGCCUUGCCUCCAAGCUCCUCUGCUCUAUCCCAUCCUACAUUGAUUUGCCAGCUGGCACCAUUACUGUCCCUUUACAAGGAUUCAGAAAGUUUCUCCAGUAUUUCAGGCCCUCUUGGGACCCGUCCAACCUCCCACUGCUUUCCUAAAACACUCACCCUUCAACCAAACUGGCCUUUGGUAUGUUUGCAAAUGCAUGUCACACCCAUCGCUAUACCUGCACAGGUGGGCCAGAGCCUUCUCUCUCUGUCCAGGAUUGCCCUUAUCACUCACAAGGGGAUGCAGGGAGUGUUUGGCUUCUGUCCUAGGGCAGUGCUUGGUGUGCACUGCUUCACAUCAGUGAGGAGAUAAUUCUCCACGGCCUUUAUGUAGGCAUCGGGGAAGACACUGACCACCCUUGUACUGGAUGGACCAUCUUUACAAGGAUGUUUAUACAAUGUACUGCCUGGAACCACAGAGACAAUGUUUCCCUCUGGAGAGGAGCAGGCUGCCUUUCUUCUCAUUUUAGAAGACUUGCAUUCCUUAUGCUCAGAAUUCCUCUCCUGUAAUGUGACCCGCUGCCCAUGCAGUUGUCACGUGGCCAUCCGAGUCACCCUGUGGGAAUCAGGGCCUGGGAACUAGCACAAGAAAAGACUGGCACUUGGACUAUUGCUAUGAUAAAGUCCUUUAUCUCUGACCCCGUGUCCUGUGUCUCCUGCCAGCAUCUAGGACACUGUCAGGCUAGCUCAUAACUUACAAGUAGGGGAAAAUCUCAGGCCUUUCACAGUUCUUGACAGGACCUUACUGUGGGAGUCUCAUCUCUCCUAAAUGAGAAAGUCUAGAGUGGAGGCAGGAAUUCCAUAUUCUAUUUCUUAACACUUUUGACACUUUCCCCUACAUGUUCUAGUACACAGAAAGUUUUUUGAUAAUAUAAAUGGUAUUGAUAAUAAAGCAAAAUAAUCAUAGCCACAAGCUCCCUAGUUUGACUUAGUUUCAACCCCUAAUGAUCUUUUCUAUUCUGCAUGGCUCUGCAUCUCUCAAGCAAUAGGGUCUUUUUGUAAAAUGCACAUAUGCAAGAGAGGAUAUGGAAGGAGCAUGUGUGGGGAGCCUAGGAAACAAGAUGAUGGGAAUAGGUUCUAGAACCAAGCUGUGGCAGAUUCCUAAUUGUUUCUAAAUAUUUAUUCUCCCUUUUUUCUUUGUAAAAAUAAUCCCAGUUAUUGUUUUAGCUGAGAACAUUAUGUCUAGCUGAAAUCAUACAUUUAUCAGCCUACUGUAUACCCAGAUGUGGCAUAUUACAGGGUCCUAGCCAAGGAGAUGGAAGUGGAAGAGAGCAUUCCCUUACUUUCACUCCCUACUGCCUAGAUUGCAGAUAUGAUUGUUGGAGUUCCACAGCCAUGUUGGGCCAUGAGGUGAAUUUGAAAAUAGAAUUCACCCAUAGUGAUAACAAGAUAGGAGGAGCAUGGGUCCCUGAUACCAUGAAGCCACCAAACCAUCCAUGAACAGACUCCUGACCUCUUUACAGGAGAGAAAAAGAAACUUUAUUUCCUUUAAACCACUGUUAUUUUGGAUCUUCUGGUAAUCUAAUCUUGACUAAUACACACUCAAUUUUAAUUGAGUGUGGAGAAUAUUAUAAAUCAUAUAUUUCCUAAGAAAGGUGCCAUCCUAUGUCUUUUUGACAUUCAAAGCAUUGAAAAGUGAGGGCUACAAUCAAACCACAUACAUUCCUCCAUGUAACCCAAUAGCAAACCCUUUUUAAAACUAUUGAAUUCAAUUCUAUUUAAUAAAAAA